AGGGCGCACGGGGGAUGCCUAGGCACCGACGGCCGAUGAAGGGCGUGGCAAGCUGCGAAAAGCUUCGGUGAGGCGCAAGCGGCCUUUGACCCGGAGAUACCCGAAUGGGGCAACCUGGCUGGUGUAAAGACCAGUCACCCGCAAAUGCGGGGGGAACCCGGCGAAGUGAAACAUCUCAGUAGCCGGAGGAAGAGAAAUCGAACUUUGAGAUUCCCUGAGUAGUGGUGAGCGAAAGGGGAAGUAGCCUAAACCACGGGCGUGCAAGGCUGCGGCCGUUGCGUCCGUGGGGUUGAGGGGAUGUCGAGGCGGCUGCCGCAGUGGCCGCGUGAAGUUACAAAACCUGUAUCUAGCCGAACCGUGUUGGGAAAGCGGGCCAUAGAAUGUGAAAGCCACGUAGGCGAAAGAGACGGGACUUCACCGGACAUACCCCGAGUAGGCCGGAGCACGUGGAAUUCCGGUUGAAUCAGGGCGGACCACCGUCCAAGGCUAAAUACCGUUGGUGACCGAUAGUGAAGCAGUACCGUGAGGGAAAGGUGAAAAGCACCCCUGGCGGGGAGUGAAAAGACCUGAAACCGUGCGCUUACAAGCAAUCGUAGUCCGGCACCCAGCCCGGGGUAUCAGAGCCCCUGGCUUGGCCUGGAUCGGCCCUUGCCCCCAUGGAUCUGACAUGGGUGGCGGUGGGUUGUGAAGGCGGCAUUGAGGGGAUAACUAAUACCUUGCGCUGGGUGUCGGAUGGCGGUGUGCCUAUUGAAGAAUGAGCCGGCGAGUUACGGUAUGUGGCGAGGUUAAGGGCUUUAAGGCCUGGAGCCGCAGGGAAACCGAGUCUUAAUAGGGCGAACUAGUCGCAUGCUGUAGACCCGAAGCCGUACGAUCUAUCCAUGGGCAGGUUGAAGCCUCGGUGAAACGAGGUGGAGGACCGCACCACCGGCUGUUGAAAAAGCCUUGGAUGACCUGUGGAUAGGAGUGAAAAGCUAAUCGAGUACGGUGAUAGCUGGUUCUCCCCGAAAUGCAUUUAGGUGCAGCCUCGUAUAAAAAGAGUGGCGGGGGUAGAGCUACUGGAUGGAUGAGGGGGACUGGGGUCCUACCGAUUUCAACCAAACUCCGAAUACCGUUACUUGUAGAUACGGGAGUGAGACUACGGGUGAGAAGGUUCGUGGUCUAAAGGGAAACAGCCCAGACCGACAGCUAAGGUCCCUAAGCCCGCGCUGAGUGUGACAAGGAUGUGGGGGAGCCUGGACAGCCAGGAGGUUGGCUUAGAAGCAGCCACCCUUGAAAGAGUGCGUAACAGCUCACUGGUCGAGCGCCCCUGCGCCGAUAAUGUAGGGGGCUAAGCGCGGCGCCGAAGCUUCGGAACAUGCAUACUUAGGUGUGUGCGUAGUUGGUAGGGGAGCGUUCUGUACGGGGAGAAGUCGUGUCGUGAGGCGCGGUGGACUGUACGGAAGUGAGAAUGCCGGCAUAAGUAGCGAGAAACGCGUGGGAAACGCGUUCGCCGAAUGCCCGAGGAUUCCUGGGGAAGGUUAAUCCUCCCAGGGUUAGGCGGGACCUAAGGUGAGGCCGAAGGGCGUAGCCGAUGGACAGCAGGUAGACAAUCCUGCCCCGCCCCGUAACCGUUACUACCGAUGGGGUGACGCAAGAGGCUAGGUGCUCCGGGUGAUGGAAAACCCGGUACAAAGGAGUAGGGGGACGGUCCAGGCAAACCCGGACUGUCGAUAACCCUGAGACCUGACGUGGAUCCGCCGUAAUGGUGGAGAAGUCAUUGAGGCCCUAUUGCCGAGAAAAGCCUCUAGGGAGGGUAUGGGGCGCCCGUACCUCAAACCGACACAGGUGGGCUGGCUGAGCAGGCUAAGGCGGACGAGAUAACCCUCACCAAGGAACUCUGCAAGUUGACCCCGUAACUUAGGGAGAAGGGGUGCCGCGGCGGUGAAAUAUAGACAUAUGGAGCUGCUUGCGGUCGCAGAAACCAGGCCCAGGCGACUGUUUAGUAAAAACACAGGACUCUGCUGAAGGCGUGAAGCCGACGUAUAGGGUCUGACACCUGCCCGGUGCUGGAAGGUUAAGGGGAGAGGUUAUUGAUCUUUCGGGAUCGAGAAGCUUUGAACCGAAGCCCCAGUAAACGGCGGCCGUAACUAUAACGGUCCUAAGGUAGCGAAAUUCCUUGUCAGGUAAGUUCUGACCUGCACGAAUGGUGUAACGAUCUGGGCGCUGUCUCGGUGGGGGGCUCGGUGAAAUUGUGGUACCGGUAAAGACGCCGGUUACCCGUGGUGGGACGGAAAGACCCCGUGGAGCUUUACUGUAUCCUGAUAUUGGGUCUCGGUAUGUCAUGUACAGAAUAGGUGGGAGGCGUAGAAGGUGCGGCGUCAGCUGUGCUGGAGCCGUCGUUGGGAUACCACCCUUGAUGUACUGGGGUUCUAACCGCGAGUUCUGGAACGGACCGCGGGACAUUGUCAGGUGGGCAGUUUGACUGGGGCGGUCGCCUCCUAAAGAGUAACGGAGGCGCGCGAAGGUCACCUCGAGGCGAAUGGAAAUCGUCUUUUAGAGUGCAAGGGUAUAAGGUGGCCUUACUGUGAGACCGACGGGUCGAACAGUCUCGAAAGAGGGUCCUAGUGAUCCGGCGGUACCGAGUGGAAGGGCCGUCGCUCAACGGAUAAAAGCUACCCCGGGGAUAACAGGCUGAUCUUGCCCGAGAGUUCCCAUCGACGGCAAGGUUUGGCACCUCGAUGUCGGCUCGUCGCAUCCUGGGGCUGAAGCAGGUCCCAAGGGUUGGUCUGUUCGCCCAUUAAAGCGGUACGUGAGCUGGGUUUAGAACGUCGUGAGACAGUUCGGUCCCUAUCCACCAUGGGCGCAAGUGGUUUGAGGGGAGCUGCUCCUAGUACGAGAGGACCGGAGUGGACGCACCUCUGGUGUACCGGUUGUGCCGCCAGGCGCAUACGCCGGGUAGCUAUGUGCGGAACGGAUAACCGCUGAAAGCAUCUAAGUGGGAAGCCGGCCCCGAGAUGAGACCACUCGCCGCGACUAAAGCGGGUAAGGUAUCACGGAGACUACGUGAUUGAUAGGCCAGAGGUGUAAGGGCUGCGAGGCCUUGAGCUGACUGGUACUAAUUGACCGAGGCCUUAACC
rnacentral:rRNA from 1 species